GAGGGGUGCAAACGUUAUUCGGAUUUACUGGGUGUAAAGGGUGUGUAGACGGCUUGUUAAGUUCGUUGUUAAAUCUUCCGGCCUAACCGGAAGCUCGCGAUGGAAACUGGCAGGCUUGAGGGUGAAAGAGAGAAGUGGAAUUCUCGGAGUAGCGGUAAAAUGCGUAGAUCUCGAGAGGAACACCGAUGGCGAAGGCAGCUUCUUGGUUCACUCCUGACGUUGAGACACGAAAGCGUGGGGAGCAAACAGGAUUAGAUACCCUGGGUAGUCCACGCUGUAAACGAUGAUCACUGGAUGUCAGCCCUUGUUUUGCAAGGUUGGUAUCGAAGCUAACGCGUUAAGUGAUCCACCUGGGGAAGUACGGUCGCAAGAUUA
rnacentral:rRNA from 1 species